rnacentral:lncRNA from 1 species
GUACUCACUCCCGCCCGCAGGCAGGGUCGGUGAGCCUCGGUGCAGGGUGCCAUUUUCUCUCCUUGUUAGACCUUCCGGAGCUGAGCAGGAGGCGGCUGCUGAUGUGUUCUGUGUCCUGCAAGCAGGUCUGGCAGGGCACAGCAUGAUUGAAGAGGACUGGAAUGCAGAGAUGGGGGACGAGGCGUUGCUCCCAUCCCUUGAGAAGGUUAGCUUGUUUGAAAGACCAAAUGACCUCUCAUCUGGCUUCAGUCCGAGUGUAAGCUCAUUCGGUACUGAUGAAUUUUUGAACAGACAGUGUCAACCAAUGAGUAGUUUCGGUAGAGGAAGGAAUUUUGCAGCCAAAGGUAACUUCCUCUAAUGGCUGUAAUUCUACUGGCUAGUCCUAUAUUAUAUAUUAAAUUUUGCUUAUUAAGGUGCUCAGUUUUGUU